GGGAAUGUGGCUCAGUGGUAGAGUGCUUGCCUAGCAUGCAUGAAGCCCUAGGUUCCAUUCCUCAGUAUCA
rnacentral:tRNA from 1 species